ACGAACGCUGGCGGCGCGCCUAACACAUGCAAGUCGAACGAGCGAGAGAGAGCUUGCUUUCUCGAGCGAGUGGCGAACGGGUGAGUAACGCGUGAGGAACCUGCCUCAAAGAGGGGGACAACAGUUGGAAACGACUGCUAAUACCGCAUAAGCCCACGGCUCGGCAUCGAGCAGGGGGAAAAGGAGCAAUCCGCUUUGAGAUGGCCUCGCGUCCGAUUAGCUAGUUGGUGGGGUAACGGCCCACCAAGGCGACGAUCGGUAGCCGGACUGAGAGGUUGAACGGCCACAUUGGGACUGAGACACGGCCCAGACUCCUACGGGAGGCAGCAGUGGGGAAUAUUGCACAAUGGGGGAAACCCUGAUGCAGCGACGCCGCGUGGAGGAAGAAGGUCUUCGGAUUGUAAACUCCUGUUGUUGGGGAAGAUAAUGACGGUACCUAACAAGGAAGUGACGGCUAACUACGU
rnacentral:rRNA from 1 species